rnacentral:rRNA from 1 species
GAUGAACACUGGCGGCGUGCUUAACACAUGCAAGUCGAACGAUGAAGCCCAGCUUGCUGGGUGGAUUAGUGGCGAACGGGUGAGUAACACGUGAGUAACCUGCCCUUAACUCUGGGAUAAGCCUGGGAAACUGGGUCUAAUACCGGAUAGGAGCGUCCACCGCAUGGUGGGUGUUGGAAAGAUUUAUCGGUUUUGGAUGGACUCGCGGCCUAUCAGCUUGUUGGUGAGGUAAUGGCUCACCAAGGCGACGACGGGUAGCCGGCCUGAGAGGGUGACCGGCCACACUGGGACUGAGACACGGCCCAGACUCCUACGGGAGGCAGCAGUGGGGAAUAUUGCACAAUGGGCGCAAGCCUGAUGCAGCGACGCCGCGUGAGGGAUGACGGCCUUCGGGUUGUAAACCUCUUUCAGUAGGGAAGAAGCGAAAGUGACGGUACCUGCAGAAGAAGCACCGGCUAACUACGUG